ACGCUGGCGGCACGCCUAACACAUGCAAGUCGAACGAAGUAGCAAUACUUAGUGGCAGACGGGUGAGUAACAUGUAGGUAUCUGCCCUUUGGCCUGGAAUAACACGAGGAAACUUGUGCUAAUACCGGAUAAGUCUUUACGGAGAAAGCUUUAUGCACCAUUGGAUGAGCCUGCACUUGAUUAGUUUGUUGGUGGGGUAAUGGCCUACCAAGACUGUGAUCAAUAGCUGAUUUGAGAGGAUGAUCAGCCACAUUGGGACUGAGACACGGCCCAAACUCCUACGGGAGGCAGCAGUGGGGAAUCUUGCACAAUGGAGGAAACUCUGAUGCAGCGAUGCCGCGUGAGUGAAGAAGGCCCUUGGGUUGUAAAGCUCUUUCGUCGGGGAAGAAAAUGACUGUACCCGAAUAAGAAGGUCCGGCUAACUUCGUGCCAGCAGCCGCGGUAAUACGAAGGGACCUAGCGUAGUUCGGAAUUACUGGGCUUAAAGAGUUCGUAGGUGGUUGAAAAAGUUGGUGGUGAAAUCCCAGAGCUUAACUCUGGAACUGCCAUCAAAACUUUUCAGCUAGAGUAUGAUAGAGGAAAGCAGAAUUUCUAGUGUAGAGGUGAAAUUCGUAGAUAUUAGAAAGAAUACCAAUUGCGAAGGCAGCUUUCUGGAUCAUUACUGACACUGAGGAACGAAAGCAUGGGUAGCGAAGAGGAUUAGAUACCCUCGUAGUCCAUGCCGUAAACGAUGUGUGUUAGACGUUGGAAAUUUAUUUUCAGUGUCGCAGCGAAAGCGAUAAACACACCGCCUGGGGAGUACGACCGCA
rnacentral:rRNA from 1 species